rnacentral:rRNA from 1 species
GACGAACGCUGGCGGCGUGCCUAAUACAUGCAAGUCGAACGCAGUGGGGACAGGUGAGUAACACGUGGGUAACCUACCAUCAGAGGGGAUAACACUUCGAAAAAGGUGCUAAACCGAUACUGAUAGAUGAACCCGCGGUCCAUUAGCUAGUUGGUGCGGUAACGGCUCACCAAGGCCACGAUGCAUAGACGACCUGAGAGGGUGAUCGGCCACACUGGGACUGAGACACGGCCCAGACUCCUACGGGAGGCAGCAGUAGGGAAUCUUCGGCAAUGGACGAAAGUCUGACCGAGCAACGCCGCGUGAGUGAUGAAGGUCUUCGGAUCGUAAAUCUCUGUUGUUAGAGAAGCGGUAUCUAAACAGUAAGCAACGGCUAACUACGUGCCAGCCGCCGCGGUAAUAC